ACAGAUGCAGCAACAUCGCAGUGUGAUGAGAAUGGAGAAGGCUGUCAACUUCAUGCACCUUGGAGGAAUGAGUAAUGUAUAUUGGAUCCCUCACCUCAUGGAACAACUCCUGGCAUACAUUUCAGAAGAGGUUCGUCUACGAAAAAACAGGUAAACUGAAGAGGCUCCUUACGUAUCCAAACGGAGAGGGAAACAUGAAUGAAAUAAAGCUGUAUCGCUUGAAUACUCUUUUAUUUCUGUGGUUUAUUGCAGAUGAAUGUUUUAAUACCUCAGUUUCCACUGCUGGGUUGGAUCUUUCUUGCCAUUUGACAGCCCAGCUGUUAAUUAUUAAGGGAAAAAAUUCUGUAUACUUUCAGUGUAUAUUUUGGCCUGCCUUUUUCCACCUUUUAUGAUUUUUCACCCUAAGUACUAACUAUUUUUAGUUGCUUGCUCAUUUGUCUUGUGUUGACAUUCUGAGCAUCUGUAACUGUAAAACAGAAAUAAUAAUAAUAGUAACAUGCAGAAUAGGGAGAAAGAGAAAACAAGCAUGAGAGAAGACCAGAUAAAUGUACUGUGCAGCUCUAGAACUAGAAGCUAAACAUAACCUGAUAGGUUAAUCCUUUUGUACUAACAGUACUGUCCAUCCAUCCUUAAGUUUGAAUUAUCAUAUUUGUAAUUAUCGAUUCAGGGUGUUUAAAACAAACCAGUAUCUGUUUUGCACAUGGUCUAGUAUGUAACUUCUAGAGUUCUCCAUCUGCUCUUAUUUAGAUUUGUGUGUUACAAAAGAUUAACUUGUUUGAUUUUGUUUAUGAGCUAGAGGGAGUAAAUAACUAGCAAUUAACCGUCCAUGUUCUUUGUAAAUAGAAGUAGGAGAGAUUGAUGUGAUGCAGUGUAAUGCUCUUACUAAAAUGAGUAUUUUUGCUGUGUUGAAAUAUGCCACAUUUUAUCAACUGCUCCUUGGUGUGCAAUAGACAAACCUGUAUAAGAGGACUGAUACUUGAAGUAAAUAUCUUGACUGAUUGUGAUCCCAUAAAUGUUUUUAUGUGUGUUUUAAUAAUUACAGUUUAUUUAUAUUACAAUACAACUCAGUCCAUUCAUCUUU